rnacentral:misc_RNA from 1 species
AACACUGUUAACCUGCGGUACCUGCGGAGGGAUCAUUACAGUAUUCUUUUGCCAGCGCUUAACUGCGCGGCGAAAAACCUUACACACAGUGUCUUUUUGAUACAGAACUCUUGCUUUGGUUUGGCCUAGAGAUAGGUUGGGCCAGAGGUUUAACAAAACACAAUUUAAUUAUUUUUACAGUUAGUCAAAUUUUGAAUUAAUCUUCAAAACUUUCAGCAAUGGAUCUCAGAUCGGAAGAGC